GGCCUCAAAUCAGACAAGAGUACCCGCUGAACUUAAGCAUAUCAAUAAGCGGAGGAAAAGAAACUAACAAGGAUUCCCCUAGUAACGGCGAGUGAAGCGGGAACAGCUCAAAUUUUAAAUCUGGCUGCUUUGUAGUCCGAGUUGUAAUUUGAAGGAGUCUUGCCGCUGGCAAAACGAUGGCACAAGUCCUCUGGAACGGGGCAUCGUAGAGGGUGAGAAUCCCGUCUCUGGUCAUCACGCGCUGGCAUACGGCAGGCAUCCGAAGAGUCGAGUUGUUUGGGAUUGCAGCUCCAAAUGGGUGGUAAACUCCAUCUAAGGCUAAAUAUUGGCGAGAGACCGAUAGCGAACAAGUACCGUGAGGGAAAGAUGAAAAGAACUUUGAAAAGAGAGUAAAACAGUACGUGAAAUUGUUGAAAGGGAAACGAUUGAAG
rnacentral:rRNA from 1 species